CAAUAGCGUAUAUUAAAGUUGUUGCGGUUAAAAAGCUCGUAGUUGGAUUUCUGCUGAGAACGACCGGUCCGCCCUUUGGGUGUGUAUCUGGCUCUUUCUUGGCAUCUUCUUGGUGAACGUUGCUGCACUUGACUGUGUGGAGCGCUACCCAGGACUUUUACUUUGAGGAAAUUAGAGUGUUUCAAGCAGGCAUACGCCUUGAAUACAUUAGCAUGGAAUAAUAAGAUAGGACCUCGGUUCUAUUUUGUUGGUUUCUAGAGCUGAGGUAAUGAUUAAUAGGGAUAGUUGGGGGCACCUGUAUUGCGUUGUCAGAGGUGAAAUUCUUGGAUUUACGCAAGACAAACAGCUGCGAAAGCGUCUGCCAAGGAUGUUUUCAUUAA
rnacentral:rRNA from 1 species